rnacentral:lncRNA from 1 species
UUCCCUCAAAAUCCUAGUCGAAACCCUAGGGUACCUACCUAGAACCUCACGCCCAAGAGGAAUCAGAUAUCCUCUGUUUCAUGCAUAGAAGGCCCACCCCCUCUCACUGAUUUCUGCCCCACACUCUGAUUAUUUUCAUGGUAAUUCACCUAUGUUUUGUCGCACAAAAGAAAUCCCUUCUUAAGGGUGGUGUGGGGAUUAGAUAGGAUAAGAUAAUCACUAGGUAGUUU